rnacentral:ncRNA from 1 species
GGUCCCAAAAAGCCCCUCCGAAAAGCGUGUGAAUAGUCCGCAUCAUUGGCCUGAACGGACGGUUCGUGAAUC